GAUGAACGCUGGCGGCGUGCCUAAUACAUGCAAGUCGAGCGAACGGACGAGAAGCUUGCUUCUCUGAUGUUAGCGGCGGACGGGUGAGUAACACGUGGAUAACCUACCUAUAAGACUGGGAUAACUUCGGGAAACCGGAGCUAAUACCGGAUAAUAUUUUGAACCGCAUGGUUCAAAAGUGAAAGACGGUCUUGCUGUCACUUAUAGAUGGAUCCGCGCUGCAUUAGCUAGUUGGUAAGGUAACGGCUUACCAAGGCAACGAUGCAUAGCCGACCUGAGAGGGUGAUCGGCCACACUGGAACUGAGACACGGUCCAGACUCCUACGGGAGGCAGCAGUAGGGAAUCCUCCGCAAUGGGCGAAAGCCUGACGGAGCAACGCCGCGUGAGUGAUGAAGGCCUUCGGAUCGUAAAACUCUGUUAUUAGGGAAGAACAUAUGUGUAAGUAACUGUGCACAUCUUGACGGUACCUAAUCAGAAAGCCACGGCUAACUACGUG
rnacentral:rRNA from 1 species